rnacentral:lncRNA from 1 species
CCCGUUCCAGCAUCGAAUUCGAGCAGAGGAAGGAGAUCAAGGUGCCAAAAGUGACGGCGCUGGGCUGGAUCCCUCUCCUCCGCAUUUCGUCGAACAGAUCCCAGGCGCGGUCGGGCAUCCCGAGAGAGCAGUAAGCAUUGAUCAGUAUGUUGUAAGUACACGCAUCCGGUGACACGGCGUAGCUCUCCAUUUCUCGGCAAAACUCCUCAACAGCUCCGAAAUCUCUGCAGUGGAUAAGCGCGUGAAGGAGGGAGUUGAAGGACCGGAUGGUCCUCUGGCAGCGGAAGGAGGGGAUCCGCAGGAAGGUACGGACGGCGGGGUACGCCAGGCGAGCCCGGCCGUAGGAGGAGAUGACGCUGCAGAAGAGGACCUCCU